GCGCCGGUGGUGUAAUGGCGUAAAGCAUUGCCGCCCGGUGAGGGGGGGGGGUGCGGGUUCGAGUCCCGCCUGGCGCU
rnacentral:tRNA from 1 species